rnacentral:rRNA from 1 species
GACGAACGCUGGCGGCGUGCUUAACACAUGCAAGUCGAACGGAAAGGCCCUGCUUUUGUGGGGUGCUCGAGUGGCGAACGGGUGAGUAACACGUGAGUAACCUGCCCUUGACUUUGGGAUAACUUCAGGAAACUGGGGCUAAUACCGGAUAGGAGCUCCUGCUGCAUGGUGGGGGUUGGAAAGUUUCGGCGGUUGGGGAUGGACUCGCGGCUUAUCAGCUUGUUGGUGGGGUAGUGGCUUACCAAGGCUUUGACGGGUAGCCGGCCUGCGAGGGUGACCGGGCACAUGGGGACUGAGAUACGGACCAGACUCCUACGGGAGGCAGCAGGGGGGAAUAUUACACAGCGGGCGGAAGCCUGAUGCAGUGACGCCGCGUGCGGGAUGACGGCCUUCGGGUUGUAAACCGCUUUCGCCUGUGACGAAGCGGGAGUGACGGUAAUGGGUAAAGAAGCACCGGCUAACUACGUG